GACGAACGCUGGCGGCGUGCUUAACACAUGCAAGUCGAACGGAAAGGCCCUUCUUUUGUUGGGUGCUCGAGUGGCGAACGGGUGAGUAACACGUGAGUAACCUGCCCUUGACUGUGGGAUAACUUCAGGAAACUGGGGCUAAUACCGGAUAGGAGCUCCUGCUGCAUGGUGGGGGUUGGAAAGUUUCGGCGGUUGGGGAUGGACUCGGGGCUUGUGAGGUUGGUGGUGGGGGGGAGGCUUACCAAGGCUUGGACGGGUAGCCGGCCUGAGAGGGUGACCGGCCACAUUGGGACUGAGACAACGCCAAGACUCAUAAGGGAGGCAGGAGUGGGGAAUACUGGACAAUGGGCGGAAGCCUGCUGGAGCAACGCCGGGUGCGGGAUGACGGACCUCGGGUUUCCAACCGCUAAAGCCUGUGACGAAGCGUGAGUGACGGUAAUGGGUAAAGAAGCCACGGCUAACUACGUG
rnacentral:rRNA from 1 species